UACGUAGGGGGCAAGCGUUGUCCGGAAUCAUUGGGCGUAAAGCGCGUGUAGGCGGCUCGGUAAGUCCGCUCUGAAAGCCCGGGGCUCAACCCCGGGAGGCGGGUGGAUACUGCUGAGCUCGAGUCCGGAAGAGGAGUGUGGAAUUCCUGGUGUAGCGGUGAAAUGCGCAGAUAUCAGGAGGAACACCAAUGGCGAAGGCAGCACUCUGGGACGGUACUGACGCUGAGACGCGAAAGCGUGGGGAGCAAACGGG
rnacentral:rRNA from 1 species